UACGAAUGGGGCGAGCGUUGUUCGGAAUCACUGGGCGUAAAGCGUACGUAGGCGGACUGCCAAGUCAGAAGUGAAAUCCCGGGGCUCAACCUCGGAAUUGCUUUUGAAACUGGUAGUCUAGAGGCCCGGAGAGGUCAGCGGAAUUCCGAGUGUAGAGGUGAAAUUCGCAGAUAUUCGGAGGAACACCAGUUGCGUAGGCGGCUGGCUGGACGGGCACUGACGCUGAGGUACGAAAGCGUGGGGAUCAAACAGG
rnacentral:rRNA from 1 species